GACCUACGGGACGCAGCAGUGGGGAAUAUUGCACAAUGGGGGAAACCCUGAUGCAGCAACGCCGCGUGAAGGAAGACGGUUUUCGGAUUGUAAACUUCUGUUCUUAGUGAAGAAAAAUGACGGUAGCUAAGGAGCAAGCCACGGCUAACUACGUGCCAGCAGCCGCGGUAAUACGUAGGUGGCAAGCGUUGUCCGGAAUUACUGGGUGUAAAGGGAGCGCAGGCGGGAAGCCAAGUCAGCUGUGAAAACCACGGGCUCAACCUGUGGCCUGCAUUUGAAACUGUGUUUCUUGAGUACUGGAGAGG
rnacentral:rRNA from 1 species